rnacentral:rRNA from 1 species
UUUAAUAGGAGUUUUUAUUCUGAUCAGGACGAACGCUGGCGGCGUGCAUAAUACAUGCAAGUAGAACGAACUCUGGUAUUGAUUGGUGCUUGCAUCAUCGAUCUACAUUUGAGUGAGUGGCGAAGUGGUGAGUAACACGUGGGAAUACCUGCUCAGAAGCGGGGGAUAUCACGUGGAAACAGAUGAUAAUACCGCAUAACAACUUGGACCGCAUGGUCCGAGCUUGAAAGAUGGCUUCGGCUAUCACUUUUGGAUGGUCCCGCGGCGUAUUAGCUAGAUGGUGGGGUAACGGCUCUCCAUGGCAAUGAUACGUAGCCGACCUGAGAGGGUAAUCGGCCACAUUGGGACUGAGACACGGCCCAAACUCCUACGGGAGGCAGCAGUAGGGAAUCUUCCACAAUGGACGAAAGUCUGAUGGAGCAACGCCGCGUGAGUGAAGAAGGGUUUCGGCUCGUAAAACUCUGUUGUUAAAGAAGAACAUAUUUGAGAGUAACUGUUCAGGUAUUGACGGUAUUUACCCAGAAAGCCACGGCUAACUACGUGCCAGCAGCCGCGGUAAUACGUAGGUGGCAAGCGUUGUCCGGAUUUAUUGGGCGUAAAGCGAGCGCAGGCGGUUUUUUAAGUCUGAUGUGAAAGCCUUCGGCUCAACCGAAGAAGUGCAUCGGAAACUGGGAAACCUGAGUGCAGAAGAGGACAGUGGAACUCCAUGUGUAGCGGUGAAAUGCGUAGAUAUAUGGAAGAACACCAGUGGCGAAGGCGGCUGUCUGGUCUGUAACUGACGCUGAGGCUCGAAAGUAUGGGUAGCAAACAGGAUUAGAUACCCUGGUAGUCCAUACCGUAAACGAUGAAUGCUAAGUGUUGGAGGGUUUCCGCCCUUCAGUGCUGCAGCUAACGCAUAAGCAUCCGCCCGAGAGUCACUAAGGGCC